UCCCUGCAGGUCAAACAUCUCGUGUCCCUGCAGGUCAAACGUCUCGUGUCCCUGCAGGUCAAACGUCUCGUGUCCCUGCAGGUCAAACAUCUCGUGUCCCUGCAGGUCAAACGUCUCGUGUCCCUGC